rfam:Ictidomys tridecemlineatus contig001704, whole genome shotgun sequence.
GUUGUUAUGGCUCAGUGGUAGAGUACUUGUCUAGCACAUAUGAGGUAUUGGGUUCAAACCUUAGCAACCACA